CAGUAGCCGCGGUAAAACGAAGGGUGCAAGCGUUAAUCGGAAUUACUGGGCGUAAAGGGUGCGUAGGCGGUUGUUUAAGUCUGUUGUGAAAUCCCCGGGCUCAACCUGGGAAUGGCAAUGGAAACUGGACGGCUAGAGUGUGUCAGAGGAUGGUGGAAUUCCCGGUGUAGCGGUGAAAUGCGUAGAGAUCGGGAGGAACAUCAGUGGCGAAGGCGGCCGUCUGGGACAACACUGACGCUCAUGCACGAAAGCGUGGGGAGCAAACAGGAUUAGAUACCCCCGUAGUCCCUGUCUCUUAUAA
rnacentral:rRNA from 1 species